CCCUACGGGAGGCUGCAGUAAGGAAUAUUGGUCAAUGGACGCAAGUCUGAACCAGCCAUGCCGCGUGGAGGAUGAAGGUCCUCUGGAUUGUAAACUUCUUUUAUCUGGGACGAAAAAGGGGGAUUCUUCCUCAACUGACGGUACCAGAUGAAUAAGCACCGGCUAACUCCGUGCCAGCAGCCGCGGUAAUACGGAGGGUGCAAGCGUUAUCCGGAUUCACUGGGUUUAAAGGGUGCGUAGGUGGGCAGGUAAGUCAGGGGUGAAAUCUCGGGGCUUAACCCGGAAACGGCCAUUGAUACUAUUUGUCUUGAAUACCGUGGAGGUCAGCGGAAUAUGUCAUGUAGCGGUGAAAUGCUUAGAUAUGACAUAGAACACCAAUUGCGAAGGCAGCUGGCUACACGAAUAUUGACACUGAUGCACGAAAGCGUGGGGAUCAAACAGGAUUAGAUACCCGUGUAGUCC
rnacentral:rRNA from 1 species